rnacentral:lncRNA from 1 species
CCUAGACCACUCAACUGUAGCGCAGUCUGUGGAAAAGGUGAUAGAGGAGAAUAUAAGAAUAAGGAUAUUAUAUAUUAGAUGUAAUGCCAUUAAUGACUAGAACAGUUGCCUAAUAAGCUGUAGAAGAUGCAGAAAUAUCUUCUCCAACUUUCUCUUUCACACACACAGACGCUCUUAACCACUGUGACAUCACUGCUGCCGUUGGGAAGCAAUCCCUCCAAUAACCCAACCAAAGCCACACCAUAAAAUCCCCCAGUCUAGGCCGCUUUCGUGAUGCGAAUUGGAGUAGUUGGCUGAGGGUCUGUUCCAGGGCCUGCUGUAAUCUGCAUUAGGGAGACUCAGCGUGCUGCUGCUUUUCUUGUUCUUGAGACCAAAGCUGAGGAAUGAUGGUUUCUUUGCUACCUUGCGAGACUUGGGGUUUUUAUCGUCCUCGUCGUGUGCCAGGCAGAUCAUGGAGUAUGUCUUGGACAGGCCGCCGCAGUACGUAGCGCUCUUGGUUGCCUGCAGAGAAAGAAACAGAGGAAGAGCAUCUGAGAGCCAUGAAUGAGGGAACAUUCCAGAUGGGCUCUGAAGAUAGAGCAGCUAUGAAUGGAAGUUUGGCUACACCCCUUCAGGAUUCCAAGGAAGGAUGCAAAGAUAAUAGAAUUGAGUGAAGUGAAAUAAUAUAUCCUUUCUUCCUUUAGCAUCACUUCAAAGCAUCUUCAUUUAAUGAAUCCUGUACAUCACUGAAUUUGCUUGCACUUUCAAAUUCUAGAAUAUUACAGAUAAUUAAUUACACUGUAAUAGUUUUAACCAUCAAAAAACACCACGCUUGUCUGUAUUUUUUUUUUACUUAAUGAAUUAUUCUGAUAGUGACUGCUUUUUAUUUGUGCUAAAAAGUACAUUACAGAAAGAACCUGUGAAAACAAACGACAUUAACAAA